UACGAAGGGGGCUAGCGUUGUUCGGAAUUACUGGGCGUAAAGCGCGCGCAGGCGGUCUUCCAAGUCAGUGGUGAAAGCCCCGGAGCUCAACUCCGGAACUGCCAUUGAAACUGUUGGACUUGAGUACGAGAGAGGUGAGUGGAAUUCCCAGUGUAGAGGUGAAAUGCGUAGAUAUCGGAAGGAACACCAGUGGCGAAAGCGGCUUCCUGGUCCGACACCGACGUUCAGGCACGAAAGCGUGGGAGCAAACAGG
rnacentral:rRNA from 1 species